rnacentral:tRNA from 1 species
GAGGUUCGAAUCCUUCCGUCCCAG